CAAGCCUUUAUCGAUUAAUCUUUACCAAUAAACGCGAGUCUCACUAGCUGGUCAGGGCCACAGUCACAGCUGUUUACAGGACUCUGCUGGAGUCUGUAAGUGGCUUGGACACUCAGCUGGACUGGCAAAGCAGAAUAUCUGUGUGUCAGUGUACUUCAUUCAUCCGUCGCUGGGUCAGGGUCUGGGGGUCAGACCCCUGCAGCUGGUGCCCCUGUGUGAGGAACGCUACCACACAUCCUGGCCUGGGCUGGGGAGUCCAUCCAAUGGAAUAUAUUUAAGGUAUGAAAAGGGCCUCGUUCAGUUCCUGGAGCAAGGGAGCCACCCGAUAAUGCCUUCCCUUGCACCCCAGAUGAAGCCAAGCACAGUGAGAGAAGCAUCUCCAGAUCUCUAUCUGGUGGAGCUGCUGGACUUCCCUCGGGGCAGGAGACAGUAUGACAUAGACCAGUUUCAGCAGAACAUCCAAGCCAUAAUUUGGCUUUUCAUGUGUGCCUCUGUGGGUUCCUGGUACCCAAACUAUUCUAUGCUCCUGCAAAGGAGAUCACAGGAACUGUCUCCUUUUUCGGUGUGGCUCUCCUUGGCCUUCUAAAAUGGCCUAUAUGGGAUGCACUCCUACCCUACUUAAUAUCACCAAUUGCAAAAUGUCAAGAAAAAAAAGAACAAGACGGAUAAUCUCCAGCUGGAUAAAAAUGAAGACAAAGAAGGAAGAAGAUGUCCAAAUCAAGCACACACAGCCAGAUGUCCUCAGAAUGGCUCAGCUUCUCCAAGGUCUGGCCUUCCAUUGAACCCUUCCAUUGAAAACCUUCCUUUUAAUCACAUUGCAAGUCACCUUUGUGCUUUCCAGCAUCUAUCUAGAGUGUUGCUGUCAUUCAAGCACCAUCAGGAUAUGUGAGGCCUUCCUUGUUAGAACAUUGCAGCCACGAUCUGGGGAUUUAAAUUUAGUCUAGGGCUAGUAUGUACAGACAAGGACCUUCUGCUCAAUUCCCAUUCAGAGCCCUGCCCCUUCUAAGGGCAGCUAGGACUUAGGCAGACCCCUGAAGGAGAUGGACAGGCAUUCCACAGGUAGAAACCUCCAGAUUCUUAGCGGCUCAUGGGGGAUUGUGGCUUUGAACACAGCAUAUCUAGUCAAGUUUAAGUACAUUUCUUUAAAAUACAUUUUGACCUUAAAAAACUUAAAUAACUUAAAGUUAUAAAGAGAAGGAAUUCCUCUCCUUUAAGCAGAAGGCAAAGGUUGGUGUUUUAAAGAGAAUAAGUGGACCCCUCCUGUACCAUCCUUCCCCUUUCGUAGUGCAUCUGGUCACAAUAGUAUUUUAUCAGACAACUGCUCUCUAAAGAAAUUGAGUGAUUAAAUGAUCUGCUAUGAUGGGUGGGGUUAGUUAGGGGUGAGGCUUCAGAAGACUAGUCUUUCUCAAUGAAGUACUGACCAGCCCAACUGCUGAUUUUUACCAAUCAACACAAAAUCCAUCAUUGUUCUCCCACUGAGAGAUGUUACGGGUUGAAUUGUGUCCGUUCCGAAAAAAAGAUGUUGAAGUUCUAACCACCACCCCACUGCCCCAUACCUGGGAAUAUGACCUUUCUUGGAAAUAGGGUCUUUGCAGAAAAUCAGGUUAAGGUGAGGUCAUUAGAGUGGGCCCUGAUCCAAUAUGACUGGUGUCCUCAUAAAGAGGGGAAAUGUGGACAUAGAGACAAAUAUAUGUGGAGUGAAGACAAUGUGAAGAUACAGAGAACCCCAUCUACAAGGCAAAAAACAGCUGAGACUUCCAGACGAAAGAGAAGAGGCCUGGCACGGUGUCUCCCACCCUCAGAGGAAACCAACCCUGCUGACAUCUUGAUCUUGGACUUCCAGAUUCCAGAACUAUGAGAGAAUAAACUGCUGUUGAAGCCACCCAGUUAGUGGUACUUUUGUCACUGUGGCCAUAAGAAAUGAAAACAAGGUAUAUCUUUAUUGGAGAGACAGAUGAAUGUAAUGAAAGAAGGGACCGGCACUAGCUGCACACAUUAAUAAACUGAGUCUUUUCAAUAAAUAUAAAUGGACUGUCAAGAAUACUAAAUAUUUGAGAAACACAAGACAACUUUAAAAAUAUUAUUAUGAUUAUCCUGAUGACUAUCCAUUAUGUGAUCUAUUAAACCACAACAGAACAGGAGAAAAAAAGUAGAAGUUCUUAGAAACUAAUUUAUACUCAUAUAUGACAAGCCUGAAAAUAAACCAAUAGGUAAGACAAAUAGUGGGGACCCGGCAACUUGUCAGAUAUGAAAGGGAAGGGGAAAGACAUGCAAAAUAUGAGAAAUUAAUGUAAGAGACAAGGAGAUGGAAUCUGUAUGUCCAAUAUCCAUCUUGAAAAAAAUCCCCAAUAGAGAGCAAAGAGAAACGAAACCAAAAGAGAAGAAAUAAUAAAAGUAAAAUUAGACUAUUUCCUAAGUCUAAAAAACUGUGCAUUGAAAUUGAAAAGGCCUAAAUGAAUUUAAGGGGUCUGAAUGAAAUGUUAAAACCCCAAAGAUAAAGACAAGAUCCAAAUGCUUCCAGAGAGGAAGAACCUGAAAAGAGAUUAGAUAUAUGGAAUAAAAAUCAACUCGCCACGAUUUUCUCAUCAGAACUCUGAAGACUAGAAAUAAUGAAUCAGUAGCUUCAAAUUUUUGAGGGAAAAUUAUUUUAAACAUUGAAUUUUAUACCUAGCCAAAUUAUCAAUUAAGUGUAUAAGUAAAAUAAAAAAUAGUAAUACAAUCAGAGUAUUUGCUUUCUUUGCACUCUGUGGAAAAAAGGACUGUAUUUGAAAAAGCAUUCUAAUAUAAAUAAGAAGGAAUCCAUAAAAAAGAGAUGGGAUCUAAGACCCUGGAAUUAACACAGUCUGCAAGGAAAAGAUUUACAAGGAUGACAAUUCAGAUAUUUUUAAGGAAACAUACAGGAGAGCAAAUUUUUCACCUUUCAAUAGAUACCAGAAUUCACGGAUUGAAUAUUUUAAAUAAUAAUAAUGAAAGAGUCAUAGAAUUAUUCUCUCCAUAAGAUAAAAGACAAUUAGCAACUCCUAGAAGAAACAAAAAGCUGAAAGAGAAAGUUACAACCAUCUGUGAUGCAAACUAAAAUGUGGCAUUAUUUUAAGGACUAGAAAUGUAAGAGAGUAGAAUCCGUUUGACCUUGGCAUGGGUUAGAGGAACCUGUGUCUAUUCUUUUGUUUGUGAGUUCAAUCACAUCAUUUGUGAGUAUUUACAGGGUCACAUUAUGUAUGUUGUUUAUUGGCUUUUUGAUUUUUAGAGUCAUCCUAGACAACAAGUUCAAAAGUCUAUGCUACAUUGAAGGCCAGAUGUGAAUGUUCAAAAGCCUUACAGAGUGAAGAUAAGGCCAGUAGACGCUGGGCAUAGAGUGAGCUGAGGGGUUGUCAAGGGAAGUAAAGACGCAAGAAUUUCCUCAUUUUCCACAGUGGAGAGUCAAUAUAUUGCUGCGUGAUAGAGAAAGACAUAAAGCUUUUAUUCACUGAGUAACAAAUACAUGUUGGGCUCCUACAUAUCAGAGGCAGGAGUAGAGUGGAACCCCAGUGGGGAGGCUGUGCCCCAGGGUCUCAUUCCUUGUUCAGUGACAAUGUUAGUGGUGGGGUACGCAGAUGGCGUUUAUCCUUCUCAGGAAGAAGAGCUGCAUGUUGAGGCCCUUUGAUACCCUUCCAUUCAGUCCAAGUAACAUUUUGUGGGGCAGAUUCUCCUAAAAUUGAAUACAGAGUUUAUACCAGACUAUUUUUCUGUGUUUUUAACAUUUUCUGUCCUAUUUUUGCUUUUACUCCUUUUUGUCAGAUUCUAAGAUAUCUGUGGGCUUUGUAAACCUCUACUUAGGCUGCUAUCCUUCUGAAAGUAAAUUGCAAAAUUGAUCUUGAUACCCAACUGUCUCAAAAGCAAGCGCUUUAAAUACAGUUCCUCUGCCAGAUGAGAGAUAGGAUUAGAGGGCAGAGAGUGCUGAUCCCACAGGUACUGUGAUCAGACGAGAGCAUAGCAGGAAGCAGGCCCUGCCAUCCCAAGUCUCUGUCCUCAGACGCUCUCAUGAUAGGAAGCUGAUAAUCCUACAACAGACUUCCCCAGGCUCAAAUAACCAAGAGUCACUGAAAACAUGGAGCUUUUCAGCAAAUCCUAAGCUGGGUAUCAAAGAUAUGUUCCCAGUUACCAAAGAUAGGCCCAACACCAAAGCCUAAGGGGUGUGUGUGUGUGUGUGUGUUGAUUUUUAAAUACAAAAAUAAUUCCUCAUAUCUAAAACAGGAAAAGAUGCCAUAAUGGGUUGACAACUUUAUAAUGGGAACAGUUUCACUUAGGAGGUGGAGUAACAAAGAUCUCAAAGCUUGAAGAAGAAAAUGUAACUGCUAGCAAGCUAAUAAUUGUUAGGCAAACUGCCGUUCUGUGCAGAUAGAUCAUCAUUGUCUUUUUGUGCUAGUGAGGAGGAAAAAAGUGUUGGAAGGUUAUUUUAAGAGUCAACUUUAGAGCUCUUUUCAGGAGGGCUGGUUUUGCUCGGUAACAUGUCUACAUUGGUGUGUUUUUAUAUAGAAGAUGCUCCAUUCUUAGCAUGGAGGGGUUGGAGCUGGAUUAAAGCAAGGGCUCAAAUAUUUUCUAGAAGAAGCUAACUUGAAUUUGGAGUAAGAGGAAGUAAAAAGGAAAAAAAGGCUUCAAGAAAGAGAAAGGCAAAGGCAUAUGGGGAAAUAUUGGACCGCAAGAAGCUUUUGGUGGUGGAGUUGUUGAAACAUUUGAAGAACAGGGAUGACUAGUAUUAAUUUUUAAAUAGAUUUCCAUGUGAUUCUGCCACCCCAAGCCAUCUGUAAAGUUUUCUAUACAAACAAACAUCUUGUGUGGGUGGCAGAUUGAGGCAAUGGAGGAAAAGGGGCUGAGUUCUUUAACUAGUGCAAGGUUGGGAUGCCACUCUACUCAGAAUGUCAGAGUCAAAGGUGACCUUGAAUAGGAAUGAAGUCUUCAGUUCAUAGAAAGUGUAGUGAAGAAUACAUCCCACCCCAACCCCCCGGCAUCCCUCAGGCUCUGAUUCUAACGUUACCACCCCUGCCUCACACCCUAAGCACAUCCAUUCUUUGGUCAAGAUUUCCCCAUUGCCUGAGUCUGAUCUAAGCAUAUUCUUCCUAAUCUAAUAGAAAUUGAGUUUGGUAGCUUAGCCGAGACUUGAGCUUGAGACUCAGAUAUUGCUAAUUCUCUCAUGCUUUCAUCUUUGAAUUUUAGCCUUAAUGUUCUUCACAUAUUAAACAAUGCUUUCCUUUGGUGAUAAAAGACUAAAUUUCAAUAGUAGGUACAAAUGGUUAUUUAUUAUAUGUGCUCAACUUUCUAAUUUGUUUUUAAUGAGGUCUCCUAUUUACAUGUUUUUUAUUUAUUAAUUCAUUCAACAGAUAACUUAAAUACUACUAUGUUGCAGCCACU
rnacentral:lncRNA from 1 species